rnacentral:rRNA from 1 species
CAAAGAUUAAGCCAUGCAUGUAACUACUGGCAGGAU